CUACAAGAUGGUGCUGAUCUGAUGCACAGAGAAGGGGAGGGGAGAUGAAGGCCUGGAGGAUGAUGGGCUGAACUUGGGCUGGCAUCAAAUCUUUGAAACCUGAGGGGGCCAGAGACCUGGAAGGAUGUGCUGUGUGUCUUCUUAGGAUAAACAUCUUUUGGCAACUUGUAAGGUUUCUUUUCUGGGAGCUGCUAUCACUGAAUACAUAAAGAAAUUGAGCCUAUAUGAUUUCAAUCUUCACCUUCUGAUGCUGAUGAAACAGGAUUCUAUGCAGUUUUCCACAGGGAGAAGCAGCAGGCUGAAGUGGCUCUUUAGGGAGACACAUACCUCCACAGGAAGAGCAGUCUAGAUUGUUUUAGCACAUUCCACUUAAGGAUUGCAGUGUGACAGCAGAGAAAAUCCUCUCCAGUCAAGUAAUUGCAUCCAUUUCAUCUUCCCAGCCCUCCUCUAGAUGGGAGGUGGAGGUGUGUGUACCAAUCUCUUAAUUCAGAAAUGAGACAAGAGGAGGAAAAAGGAGUUCCGGAGACUUUGAGUAAAGCUGAUCACCUUACGUAAUGUGAGUGGGUCUCGUCCAAUCAACUGAAGGCUUUAAGAGCAAAGACAAAGGUUUUUCAAAGAGAAAAAGAAGACUCUCCUCAAGACUGUGACAUAGAAACUCUGCCUGAAUUUCUAGCCUGCUGCCCUGCAGAAUUUAGAGUCAAGCCUACAACAUAACUCUUACCUGAAUUCUCAGGCUGCUGACUUACCCUGCAGAUUUUGGACUUGCCAGCCCCUCACAAUCCCAUGAGCCAAUUCCUUAAAAUAAAUCUCUCUUUUUCCCUCUGUAUAUAUUUAUGUCCUAUUGAUUUUGGUUCUCUGGAGAGCCCUGACUACUACACUGAGUGAAGGGAGGGCUUUGCUAAGUGAUCAUGGUCCCAAGGGCAGCCUCUGAGAGCCCGCUCCUUUUGCAGGAUAUUUGAAGACCAGACCUUGAGUCAAAUUCUGCAGCCAAAUUCAAUGCCCAUAAGACUUUCUGCUCAGAAGACGUCAUGCAAAGGGAAUCCCCAGGGCUCUUUAAAUUAGAUCUUCUGUUUGUGCAGACACGUGAUAAAUGUUUUGGGUACAGCCUGGCUCACACCACAUUUUCCACUUUUUGGGUGGAGUCAGUUUUAAUUGACAAGAAGUGCCUUUACAGGUGGACUUUUUUUUUGGUGGUGGAGGGGAGUAGUUAAAACCGAUGCUUUGCAUUCUGUUGGGCAGCAGAAAGAUUGCUUUUUCAAUAAGCAAGCCUUGGGUUUUUCUGAGCCAGUGGUAUGAGAAAUGCCUCUCCUGAAGGCCACCACGCAAGCGAGUCCCCACAGAAGCAUGCCCGAGCUGUCAGGUGCAGGGAGAAAUAUCUUUAGUAAGAGCCGGUCAUGUAAUGAGACUUCCCCACCACAGCAUAGAUGGGCAGAGGGGUUUCCACAAGGACAAUUCUUAAGAAUCUCUGUAAAAACGCAUGACUCCAUCUGUCUCCUCUCUCUUCUUUGGCUUCAGAUGAGCUGAGCCAUUUAAAAAUUCCCCAACAAGGGACCCCAGGCACCAGAAGAAGUGAUGAACAGAUUUUCAAUUUGGCCCUGAUUUGCAUAAAUUUUUUUUUUCUGGCAGUUGAAAUCAUUGAGACUAGAGGCCGGAGAUGGGUAGUAGUGGGUUUUCCCCAUCUGAAGCGGAUUCUUGAUUGGUCUGGAAAGACUGCUGGAGCUCCUGGGUGCAAGGCUCUGACCAGCAGAGCUGGUCAGCAGAGCUGACUGCUCUGGGUGCAGCUUCUCCAGAGAAGGAAGAGAUGGCAAAGAGGAAGGCCUGGGGUUCAGAGAAGGACUUUGCAACCCCAAUGGGGAGUCAGAUCCUCAGGUCUCCUCCUAGAGCGGCUGCCUGGUAACUUUCCCAGUGUCCUUCAGGGAGCAUCUCCUCGUCCGUGUGGCUGGUUUCUUCUGAUAGGAGGCUACCUUGUAAUUUCUCACUGACAGGACAGUGGGGACCCCAGCCAGAGCCUGGGGACUUGGCUGCCUUGGAACCAGAACCUGGCCCCUCAGAGGAGUUGCAGAAUUUCGAUAGAGGAGUGGCAGGAGGUGUACUGGCUGAAGAGGAGGCCCAAGGAACUCCUUUUCAUACAUCAAAACUGAGCUUAUCACCUCUACCCUGAAGUCAUCCUGGACAUCACUGGUCCCAGUUAAUCACUCACUUAUCUUUGCCAUCCUUGACCUGGUGAGUACAGUCUUUAUACCAUUUAUCAAUUAGUUAUAAUAUAUUUAUCAAUUUGUUAUAAUUGGAGAGUUGUAAAGGAUAUUAACCAGGCCCAGUUCAGGCAGUUUACAGGUGUGUGGGCACCCCGUCUGCUAUAGAUCUUUUGGUCCUAGAUUUCUAUAGCACAACGCUUAUCACUUAUUAAGUACUAAAGUUUCUGAUUUUUAUAAACGGAACUGAAAUGAAUCCCAAUUACUGACCUGUGGGACUCCCAGCCCUUUGACAUCUUGGUCCUGCCCAAAGUCAGGAGUACAUUUCCAGAGGGCUCUGCAGUGGGAAAUAGUGGUGGGAGUCUGUGUGUAUUCAGCUCGAUGCAUGCCCUAUGUUAGGUGUUUUCCCUUUUGCAGGCUGGAGUGAGCCCUUGAGCUGACCCAGAAGUUCUGAGCAUUUAUCACCCAGUAUUGAUGACCAUGUAUUUUGCCUCCUCUCUUUAUGCCUAAAGAUGAAGGAAGAAAUACAAGCUCAUGUUACAAAGAGUAUUUCCUGGGUUUAUCAGCUCUCCCCCUCUCAGCUUGAGCUCUGAAUGAUUUCUUAGUUCUCAGCUUUUCUUCCUCUGAUCAAAGUGCCUGAGGCAGUGAGCACUGGGAGGGCAGGAGCAUUUCUGGCUGAGCCCAAUGCUCACCUCUUCUGGGCCGUUUUAGGAAGCUGUGGCCCAGUGUUCUCUGGUCAGACAAGCAUGGCCUGGCUGUGGAAGGGUCUCCAAAGGCUCAUGGGUCCCAGGUGCCCUGGAUUUUGAAGGCAGCUGCCCUGCCUCCACUGGGAGAAGAUUAAAGCCCCCUUUGCCUUUCUUCGUCCCUCCCUUUCCCACUCUGUUCACUCAAUCACUCUUUUCUCUCCAAUGAAUUAAAUGCAGAAAAUCCAUGAGCAGGAUUUCUCUCUUCAAAGGACCAAAUAACCUUCUUUCUAUUCCCCCUAAAUUUUUUUCCAAACUGCAAAAAGAAAACAUGCAAACAGACUUCAAGUUAAAGGUGAGAGAAAGAAAGAAAAAUUGAAGCAAAGUAAUUUUAACUUGAGAAGUAGAGCAGUUUAAACCCAGAAAAAAAAUGUACACUCCGCAAUAUAGUCCUUUCCUACAAAUUAAUUAACCCAAAGUACUUGUUUAAUUAGUGUGAGGGGUAGGGAAUUGAGUAGCUAACAAUAUCUCUCACCCAGUUUAGAAUUAUGUUCACAAAAGAAUUUCUUCUUCUUUUCCUGAAAGGGAAGAGAACGUUGCCCUCAUUGGUCUGGAAUCAGCAGGUACCUCAUGGCUGGAGGUGUAUUUUCAGACUCCUUUGGCAUCUGGUGAGGCCUGUGGAUUCAUUCUCAGAAUCACAUUUUUAAAUGCACAUAAUAAAAUACAUAGAAUUGCAAAGGAAGUUAAUUAUAUUGAAAUACAGUUAUCAAAAAUAUAAAUAAAACAAGUAUGUGGUACAGUCAUAUGUGUGCUUCUUUAUUAAGUCAUUACAAAGCAAGAUCUAUUUGGAGGUCUAAUAACUGUCAUAUGCUUGAAAAAAUCCUUAACAAUCAUAAUAUAUUAAAAAAUCUGAUUUCUACUUUGGCAAAUCAUAGAUAUUGCUGAAACUGUGGUUUAUUGCCUGCAUUCAUAAUUGAAGGAAAUGCUAGAGUUCAGUGAGAAGGUUGUGAAAAUAAAGAGAGCCUUUUUUUCUCAUCAAGGUUCCUUGGACCUCUGAAUUCUUUUCAUGGAUCUUUUGGUGUUAGGUGAUCAUGUCUGAAGCAGUGACUCCUGGUGAUUAUUUAUCUUUCACUUUGGAUGUCUGAUCAGAAUAAAGCACCCAUCUUAAAGCCAAAAAGUGAUAAUGAUGGAAAAUGGGCCAUGGCAUGAUGGGGCAGCAACAUUUUCACCUGUUUGUAAAACACUGAAAAAAAUGUGACCUCAGAUAAGUAAGUGUCCUCCAGUGAGAAAGUAAUUAUUUCCCACCGACCACAUGAUAAGUGUACAGGUGAGUAAAACUUGGGCAGUUGAGGGAAAGUUUAUCUAGACGAAUGGCUGGUAAUUCAGGCCCUAGAGACAGAACUAGAAGGAACUCAGAUGAGGCCCAUGGUCAGCUCAGCCAAGGGCAGGGUGAGGGGUGUGGGGCCAUAGCAUUCAGGGGCAAGUUUCCACAGGUGACUUCUUCCUUGGUCAACUCUGGUAACUUUCCACACUCACAAUUUCCACCGUAUUGGCACUUGGUUAUCCAUUCCUGACCUGCCUCUUCUCCUUGUUAAUUAAUUUCCUGCUUCUGAUUGGAAUUGCCGUGGGUGAUCACUUCUGCAUCUACAGGUAAUCAAUCCAGGGAUGGGUGUACUCUUAUUUUCACAGUUCUGUUUCCUGUCUUCUCAGCCCACAGAGGCACUUUCUCCUGGAUGCACUCAGCACUCACACAGGGAGGAGAGAGCAUCUCAGGCCCUGGAAUGCCCCAGGGAAGGGGGACUGAAAGAAGGACACUUCCUAAUUUGUAUUUUAUUUGACACUUAUCUAGCAUUUAAUGUGCACUAGUCAUUGUUGCAAUUGUUUUACAAAUUUAAUUAUUUAAUCCUUACAACCACUAUACUCCCCAUUUUUAAAAAAACAGAAAUGAAGAAACUAAGACCCAGAGAGAUUGCAUAACAUGGCCAAAGUCACACAGCUAUCAAAUAGCUGAGGUAAGAUUCAGAUCCAGUUAGUCUGACUCUAGAACAACACUGCACAAUACAAAUAAGAUGUAAGGCACCGAUGACAAGCCCAGUACAUAAUUUACAAUUUUGUAGUAGUCACAUUAAAAACAUUUUAAAAAUAAACAGGGAAAUUAACUGUAAUAACUUAUUUUCCUUAACCAAUCUAAAAUGUUACCAUUUUGACAUGUAAUCAAUAUUGAAAAGUAUUAAUGUGAUAUAUUCGUUCCUAUUAACUCUUCAAAAUUGUGUGUAUUUCAUACUUACAGCACAUGUCAGUUCAGACUAGUGUCAUUUCAAGUGCUUAGUAGCCACCAUGCUGAGCAACGCUUCUUUAAGUCUUGCUCUUCACCAGUGGGCUAUGCUGCCCCUUGGCUAAACUGCCCAUGGAGCUCAGAAGGACCUCGAAGGUAGGGCUUUUAAAAGAGCUGCUGGGUAGCAGAGGUGUGGCCAUGAUGCACAGACACAGGGAGAAACACAGUGGGAAACAUACCAGUGACACUACCACCCCCGUACAUCAGGGAGCAACCCAAAGAUUCCCAUCCCCUUGAGAAAUUGGAGAAGGCUUCUCCUACAGUUUGUGGGUAUUCUGCGAGCUGGGAAAGUGUCUUCUUGAAGACUGCCCCAACCCUGUGUGUGCAGCAGAUGCCUGGAGCCCAAGGAAGAGCCUUGCUCACUAAGAGUCACCACAAUGAAGAAGCCACACCCAUAAGGCCAACACUGUGGCAAGAAGAGAAGGAAAAUGGAAAGUGUCUCCAAUUUUCUCUAGUGGCUCCUGCAUCUUAACUGUCCCAUAUUCUGUGUAUCAGUCUUUUGUUAUUUAUUUAUUUAUUUUGUUGUUUUCCAUUUUAUUCCUUGAAUGGAUGAGAUGUAGUUUACAAAGAUAGUUGGAUGAUGGCAAGAUGACAUAAAAGACUCCAAAACAUGAGGCAGAGGGGAAGUAAGAAUAGGAAAGAUGAAUGGAAUCAGGUAUGAAGUGGGUUCAAAAAGUGCAUCCCUUAGGGUCUUGCUUAAUUGCUAGAGAUGGGCUGUAUUGAUUGCAGUCUAAGCUUCCCAACAGCCUAGGCCAAGAGGGAAGCACAGUGGUUACAGGAAUCACAGUGUAAUUAAACAAAAACAAGCAGGAGCUAGAAGCGGGGUGGGGGACACUACUGUUUUAGAUUCAGAGGCCUGAGAGAAGGCUAUCUGAACUUCUUGAAAAGAGACAUCAUCCAGUCUCGAUGCUAUCCUCAGCAGGACACUGAUGUAAAAUCCUCCCUACCCUUCCAUGCACCCAGAGUUUCCUUUCCUGCCCCUGUUUAGACUGAGGGCUUAUCUCUAGCUAUUCUAUAGCUAUUGUGAAGCAUGCAAUGCUUCCCAGAUACUCAGCACUCAGAUAAACUGGCUUAGUCUGGGGUCAGUUUAAAUGAUUUAGAUCAAUGCAUUUUUGUGCAGAACUACUGUGAGUUCACCAAAGCCUGUCUCCUUUCCCUCCUCAACACUUACCAUGAGUGCUUUUCCCAGCCUUCAUUGCAACUGGGUGUGGCCUCGAGACUGAAUGUGGGCAGAAGUGUUUGGAAAGUAAAUGUGUUCCCUCUAAAACCCCUUUUUCCCUAUCUGCUGUCUGGAAGGAAAAGGAUAUCAGGACCCACAGGAGGGUGGAGUCGCAGGAAAGAAGAAGCCUGGGCUCCUGGAGGCCUGGGGGAAGGAUACGGAGCCGGAAAACCUUAAUUGGACUGUGAUGUACAUGAGAAACUAACUUCCAUUAUGUUAAGCAACUGGGAAUUCAGUAUUUAUCUGUUAGAACAGCUAGCAUUACCUUAACGAAUACAAUUCCCUGUUGGGAAAUACUCCCUAAACACAAUUCCUCUCAAUCAAGGGGAAUUGAACGGUUUGAGUGGCACCAAGUUCAAGGUUAUGUUCCCUGACAGCUAGCAGGAGUGCAAAUAUUCUCUGUUGCAGGGAAGUGGGGAGGUGUAGAACCUCAUGUUUUAACAGUCACCCAAGGUGGGAGUAAGAUUAACAUACUCUUGUCAAAAUUGUGUCACCUUACAAGAACUCCUGCCUGAAUAGAAAGCUCUUUUAUCUCCUUUUGGAGAUAAGCCAGGAUGUACCUGUGGGUAAGGCCAAGAUUCUCUUCAGAAAGUCAUUUUGGAUCUACCUGAACACAUGGGACAAUGAUAACCAAGGCCACACAGCUUUAUACGGUGAAAUCUGCUCUAAUAAUUUUUGCCUGAAAGAAAAUGUAAAACAGCUGUAACCUUAUGACUGUUGUGCCCUUAAGAACAAAACAAAACUUGCACAGUUUACCUGUCCAAGUCCCCUUCUUUUUUAUUUUAAAACUACUUUAUUGGCCAGGUGUGGUGGCUCAUAUCUGUAAUCCCAGCACUUUGGGAGGCUGAGGCGGGCAGAUCACGAGGUCAGGAGAUCGAGACCAUCCUGGCUAACACAGUGAAACCCCGUUUCCACUAAAAAUACCUAGCCGGGCGUGGUGGCGGGUGCCUGUAGUCCCAGCUACUUGGGAGGCUGAGGCAGGAGAAUGACAUGAACCUGGGAGAUGGAGCUUGCAGUGAGCCGAGAUUGUGCCACUGCACUCCAACCUGGGCAACAGAGCAAGACUCCAUCUCAAAAAACAACAACAACAACAACAACAACAACAGCAAAACUACUUUAUUGAGGCAUGGUUGACAUGUAAGGAACUAUAUGUAUAUUUAAUGUAUACAACUUGAUGAGUUUGGGAAUAAGUGUCCAUCCAUAAAACCAUCUCCCUCCUCAAGGCCACAGACAUACCCAUCACCUCCCAAGGCUUCCAUGCCCCCUUUGCUAUUAUUAUUAUUAUUUGUGGUAAGAACACUUAACAUAAGAUCUACCCUCUUAGCAAGUUUUAAGAAUACAAUACAGUGUCGUGAGCUAUAAGCUGUAUAUGGUAUAGUAGAUCUCCAGAAACUGUACCCUUUGACCAUCCUAUCCCCAUUUCCCAUUUCCUCUCCCCUGACCUCCUGGCAACCACCCUUCUACUACUGCUAUAUGUUUGACUAAUUUAGAUUCCAUAUAUAAGUGAGAUCAUGCACUAUUUGUCUUUCUGUGCCUGGCUUAUUUCACUUCACACAAUGUACUACAGGUCCCUCCAUGUUAUUACACAUGGCAGGAUUUUCUUCUUUUUUAAGGCUGAAUAAUAUUUUAUUGUAUACAUAUACUGCAUUUUAUGUAUUCAUUUAUCCGUCAAUGGACACUCAGAUGGUGUCCCUUUCUUGACUAUUGUGAAUAAUGCUGCAAUGAACAUGGGAGCGUGGUUAUGUCUUUGAGAUUCUAAUGCUGAUUUAAAUUCCUCUGAAUAAAUACCAAGAACAAAGCUGAGGCCUCAUAUUUCCAGAUUUCAAAUUACAUUACAAAGCUAAAGUAAUCAAAACUGUAUAGUGCUGGUAUAAAUAUAGACACACAGACCAAUGGGACAAAAUAAAGAGCCAAGAAAUAAAUCUAUGCAUGUAAGGUUAACUGAUUUUCAACAAGAGCACCAAGAGUACAAACUGGUGAAAGAAUAGUUUCUUCAAUAAAUGGUGUUGGGAAAACUGGAUCUCCACAUGCAAAAGAGUGAAAUUGGAUCCUUAUAACAUACACAAAAAUGAACUCAAAAUGGACUCAAGACUUAAAUGUAACACCUGAAAACAUAAAACCUCUAGAAGAAAACACAGGAGAAAAGCUCUGUGACAGUGGUCUUGGAAAUACAUUUUUGGAUAUAACAGCAUGAACACAGG
rnacentral:lncRNA from 10 species